rnacentral:rRNA from 1 species
AUUGAACGCUGGCGGCAUGCCUUACACAUGCAAGUCGAACGGCAGCAUGGAGAGCUUGCUCUCUGAUGGCGAGUGGCGAACGGGAGAGUAAUGCAUCGGAACGUACCGUGUAAUGGGGGAUAACGUAGCGAAAGUUACGCUAAUACCGCAUACGACCUGAGGGCGAAAGCAGGGGAUCGCAAGACCUUGCGUUAUACGAGCGGCCGAUGUCAGAUUAGCUAGUUGGUGAGGUAAAGGCUCACCAAGGCGACGAUCAGUAGCGGGUCUGAGAGGAUGAUCCGCCACACUGGGACGGAGACACGGCCCAGACUCCUACGGGAGGCAGCAGUGGGGAAUUUUGGACAGUGGGGGCAACCCUGAUCCAGCCAUGCCGCGUGAGUGAAGAAGGCCUUCGGGUUGUAAAGCUCUUUCGGCCGGGAAGAAAUCGCACAGGCUAAUACUCUGUGUGGAUGACGGUACCGGCAUAAGAAGCACCGGCUAACUACGUGCCAGCCGCCGCGGUAA